rnacentral:lncRNA from 1 species
AGUGGUCUUAUAGUAUGUAAUUGUUGAGAACGAAUGUACCUGGUUUUGUUGGGUCGAUACGUUCCUUUGUUGUGGCCUUUCUAAAUGUUCUCUCGCAUUCUUCCAAACUCCUUCCAUUAUUUUAAACAUAUAUCCAUAUUUAUGGCCUAUAUUAUAUAUAAAGGAGAGCCCUUGGUGUUUGUCUUGCCACCUAGUUAUGUGUGUAUGUAUGCAUGCAAACAUAGCUCUAAAGGCUGCCAAUUUAUAAGGCAUGUAGUUGUUGGACUAUGUUGGUAUUAUUAUUGGCACGUACGUAGGUUUUUUGUAUAUUUUAGUGAUAUAUUCACCUUUUUCCGUCU